GAAAUUUAAAAACGAAUAAACAUGGCCAAAAAAGCAAGCUUGUCAGAAGAUGAAUACAGAAAAAUCAACAGUAUUUAUGAGACAGAGUAGGAAUGAGGCUUGGCUCCAGCUCAUCCCUGCUACAGCAUUCUUUCAUACAUUCCCAGUGAUCACAAAACCCACACCAGUACCUCACUGAUGCCAUACCCGCUAACCCCAAGGCUUUAGUCAUGCUAUAUUGUUCCACUGAGCUCUCAAAAUGUUUAACCGUGGCUUUUACUUAAAGAAUUCCAGGAACUGGCCUUACGAGACCCAAACUAUCAAACCAAAGUUGUGGAGUGUACCACCUCAGGAGGCUCCAAUGAAGCCUCGUCUGGGAGAACUCUGUCGGCCUCAUGUCCUAUUGCAUUGAGAGCCCAAGAACUCAUGGUCAGUAACAUAUUCAUUCAGGGCUUGUCUGCGAUCACCAGACAUGGGGUGCUUUUUUCUCCUCUGUGGAGGGAGGCAUGUGAGCCAGCAGGACAGCUGGACGUGACCCCUCCGUGACUGAUGGAAGGCCACCUGAAGUUUUGAUUCAGCACUGCUACAACUGGAUGUGGAACCUGUGGAUAUGGAG
rnacentral:lncRNA from 10 species